rnacentral:tRNA from 1 species
GCUCCAGUGGCGCAAUCGGUCAGCGCGCGGUACUUAUAAGACAGUACGCUGCAAAGUGAUGCCGAGGUUGUGAGUUCGAGCCUCACCUGGAGCA